UACUCCUUGUCCUGUCCUCAGAAACCAAGAGGAACAAAUUUUCUCCUUCCUCAUCAGCAAUUGGGGAGAGUCCCAGUGCCAGCUACGCUCAAGGCACAAGAAUUAUGUUAACUACGGGCGGAUAUCAAGAUACAUGACAAAAAGGGAAGCACUCUGCGGUAUGCCUACUCAAGGCAUUGGCCUCACAGAUCUUACCAAAAGUCUCAUGCUGAUAAUGGGAAAUCCACUUCCACACUUUUCUUGGCAAAGCUAAGUGUCCCAUUAAGGCUACAUCUACCCUGGCCAGAGCUUCAUGAAGACAACCCUGAUGACCAGCAGCUCCAGGAUGAAGAGGACGACGACCCCGGGCUUGGUGUGACCCUCACCCUGGAACCGGUCCCCCAGACUCAGGACGCCUCCCAGGCAUCUUCAGACCCCGAGGAGGGAACAUCAGCUGGACCAUCCGUCCCUGAUGGUCAAGCGACAUCUGUCCCACCACCCAGCUGGGUCCAUGGAAGCCACAGGCACUGGUGCAUGUAUCAAGACCUCACCCGCCAGCACAUUAGGGUCCUCCAAAGACUGCAGGAGACCAUAGCUGAGAGGAUGCGGGCAAAGGCUGUGUGGCAAGACCACUUGCUGGACGAGCUCGUCCAGCAGCGCACAACAAUAUGUUCCACAAUGAGGGAGAUCAUGGCCUUCCCAGGUCCUGUCCCCCUUGCUGCUGCUCCUGCUCCCCUUGCAUCCUCCCCCCCCCCCAAUCUCUCCCUUGCUCCCUCAUCCCCUGCUAUCCUAGAUCCAGCUGCAGCACCGCCCCCCUUACCCUGCCCUCUACUGUCCCAGGCCCCACCCAACUCCUAUUCCAUCAAGGUCCCUGGACCAGAGAGAGCAGGAGCUUGUGGUCCAUGCAACACCCUCAGCCCUGAGCCUCCCUUCGCUGUCCAGGUUUAGAGCUCCUUUCACCCCCAAUUACAGAAAUGUUUUUAAAUUUAAGAUGAAGUUUAUUUUUGAAACCAGCAUUGUGCUUUUGUUAUUUACAUUGCUUGUUAUUUAAUACUAAGUUUAU